rnacentral:rRNA from 1 species
GAUGAACGCUGGCGGCGUGCCUAAUACAUGCAAGUCGAGCGAACGGACGAGAAGCUUGCUUCUCUGAUGUUAGCGGCGGACGGGCGAGUAACACGUGGAUAACCUACCUAUAAGACUGGGAUAACUUCGGGAAACCGGAGCUAAUACCGGAUAAUAUUUUGAACCGCAUGGUUCAAAAGUAAAAGACGGUCUUGCUGUCACUUAUAGAUGGAUCCGCGCUGCAUUAGCUAGUUGGUAAGGUAACGGCUUACCAAGGCAACGAUGCAUAGCCGACCUGAGAGGGUGAUCGGCCACACUGGAACUGAGACACGGUCCAGACUCCUACGGGAGGCAGCAGUAGGGAAUCUUCGGCAAUGGGCGAAAGCCUGACGGAGCAACGCCGCGUGAGUGAUGAAGGUCUUCGGAUCGUAAAACUCUGUUAUUAGGGAAGAACAGAUGUGUAAGUAACUGUGCACAUCUUGACGGUACCUAAUCAGAAAGCCACGGCUAACUACGUG